UACGUAGGGGGCUAGCGUUGUCCGGAAUCAUUGGGCGUAAAGAGCGUGUAGGCGGCCCGGUAAGUCCGCUGUGAAAGUCGGGGGCUCAACCCUCGAAUGCCGGUGGAUACUGUCGGGCUAGAGUGCGGAAGAGGCGAGUGGAAUUCCUGGUGUAGCGGUGAAAUGCGCAGAUAUCAGGAGGAACACCGAUUGCGAAGGCAGCUCGCUGGGACGUCACUGACGCUGAGACGCGAAGGCGUGGGGAGCAAACAGG
rnacentral:rRNA from 1 species